rnacentral:rRNA from 1 species
UACAGAGGGUGCAAGCGUGUUCGGAAUUAUUGGGCGUAAAGGGCGCGUAGGCGGUGCGGUAAGUCUGUAGUGAAAUCUCUCGGGCUCAACUCAGAGUCUGCUAUAGAAACUGCCGUGCUUGAGGUGUGGGAGAGGUGAGUGGAAUUCCCGGUGUAGCGGUGAAAUGCGUAGAUAUCGGGAGGACACACGCGAAGGCGGAACUGCUGCCACUAG